CUUUUCUCUCUUUUUCCUUCUCAAUUUUCUUCCACUUUUCCUUUUUUUUUGGGGUUUUAUUUCUUGUGAUAGCUGCCACCCGCUUUUGCGUGCCGAGAAAUACGCGGAAUUCAAAGGAGGCCCUGCUGCUGCUGCUUCUUCUUUAUCUUCUUCUUCUCCGUCCAAAGACACGGCCGGAAAUAGUUGAAAUUUGUAUCGGCGCUUGUUUUGUGGCUGCGUUGCUGUGCGGAAAAGAAGGUGAAGGGUCUGACAAACGAAAUUGAAAACUGCAAUUGACACUGAAACUGGAUAUGAAUAUGUAAGUGAAGCGGGUCGCGGUGCUGCGGGCCGGGGGCGCUGGCGGUCGCGUAGCUGUUGCAGGCUAUGUUUAUCACCUGCCACCUGCCACUUGCCACUUGCCACUUGGCAACCGGCGCCGAAGUUGCAAACGAACUUGCCACACGAGGCGGCACGAGCCGCUAUGGGCCAAUUGGGCAGCCCGAUGCGCUGGCAACAUUUGUUGCCAGCAGCUUGGCAACAUUUGUUGCCUGCGCGCUGUCGCCCAAUGCCAUUGCCAAUGAUUGGCCAUUAGCAAUUAUUAACGCAAUUAUUAUUGCAUCGUGUUCUGGCUGCCUUCAGCCUCGUCUCCAUUCGAAACUAACGAGCCAAAAUUAGGUAAACGAAUUAUGAGACUAUGGCCCAGUUCGUAGCGCCUCGCCUUUGUUGCACUUUCCCCAGCUCCAUUAUCAUCAUCAUCAUCAUCAUCGUGUCAUUAUUGUCAUCAUUUUUAUCAUCAGCCCCAUUUGCAUUAUGUAAAUCAUGUUCGCUUUGUCCCUAUUCGCCGCUCCGCUUGUGGCUUAAUUUCAGUUUCUUAUUGCAGUUAAUUAAGUGCAACUUGAGCUUUUUACCAACCAGUACCGUCCCUCCCUCUUCCCAUCCCCUCUCCCCCAAUCCCUCUCGUGCCAUGUUGCAAGCUGCUUAAUUUAUGCACGAAGCGAUUCCGUCUCCAUUGCUGAUGAUGUGCAUGUCAAAGCGCUGACAAUCAGAUGACAAUUCCAGCCAUGAUAAUUCCAGCUAAUUGCCUCAAAUUCUGCCGUCAAUCAACUUUGGUGUAGGGCCUGACGCCAUAACAGUCUCUCCUGAUAUCGAACAGCUGAAUGGGACUGCGAAAUGCUUUGUUAACUCGGGAAUGUGCGACUGAAGAAAGACAAAUGAAUGAUUGAAGAAGAAUGACUGAUGAAAUGCUAUGUAUAAGGUAAUUAGAAGAAUUUCUUAUGAAUGCCUGACAGAUGAAUUAGAUGCACUGUAAGUCUGAUGCAAAUCUGAAAAAUGUCUGAUGAAUGCCUAACGUAGCCAUGGCGGAUGCCUAGUGACAAUAUAAAGCUGAAGUAUGUCGAUGAAUGCCUUAUAAAAGCUUGAUGUACGCAUGAUGUACGCUUGAUGCAAGUCAGCAGAUGCCUGUUGUAUGCUUAAUGUGAGAACGAUGGAUGGAACCCGAUAGAUGCCUGAUGCAAGUCUGGAUGCCUGUUAGAUAUGUGAUGUAUGUAUGAAUGACGGGACGCGUAUCCUGACGAAUUUAUGUUUACCUCAUCGAUACGGGAAUAGAUGUGUGCUUGAUGUAUAACAAAUAGAUGAGGCUUGGAUAGAUGAUGAAUAGGUUCCAGUUAAAUGUCGAGUGUUCAAACGGUUGCUCCAUCAAUGCUUUAUUUAAAAUAUGAAUUUGAUAUAUGCCCGAUUUAUGCUUGCUGGAAGAGCUGACGCAUGUUUGCCGUGCUUCAAUCAGUUCAUAAUUGCGACUUAUUGAGUUUGCAUACUGUAUUGAAAAAACUGGACUGGACUGGAUUGGACUGGACAUUGGCUU